rnacentral:rRNA from 1 species
AUUGAACGCUGGCGGCAGGCCUAACACAUGCAAGUCGAACGAAUGGCGGACGGGUGAGAAAUGUCUGGGAAACUGCAUGAUGGAGCGGGAUAACUGAUAGAAACGGUAGCUACUAACGCAUACGAUGGGAUGGGCCCAGGUGGGAUUAGCUAGUCGGUGGGGUAAAGGCUCACAUAGGCGACGAUCCCUAGCGGGUCUGAGAGGAUGACAAGCCACACUGGAACUGAGACACGGUCCAGACUCCUACGGGAGGCAGCAGUGGGGAAUAUUGCACAAUGGGCGCAAGCCUGAUUCAGCCAUGCCGCGUGUAUGAAGAAGGCCUUCGGAUUGUAAAGUACUUUCAGUGGGGAGGCGUUACCCGCAGAAGAAGCACCGGCUAACUCCGUGCCAGCAGCCGCGGUAAUAC